CUAUUCCCCCUCUCGUCUUGUUUUCUUCUUCCUGUGCGGCGGCCGGCCCGAUCUGUGCGUGGCGGCGAGCAGCCCUGGUGCUCCCAUCCUCUCUCCGGCGGCCGCUGACUGCCUAGUCUUUUUCGUGGUCGCCGGUGGGAGACAGCGCGCAGUGAUGGAUUUCCCACUGGAUCCGGUGAGCAGCCUUCCAAUUUAUGGGGCGUUCCCGGCUGAGGCGACGGUGGAGAUUUUGCAAGGAGGGGACUCGGUCAGUAGCAACGCGGGUCCGGCGCCGGCGCCGGCGGGAGCAACCGUGCUUGGGGACAUCCUAGAUGCAACCAGCGUCGGCGAUUUUGCAAGCGGGCUUGGUGGCGUGGAUGGACCAGUAGCUGCAGAUUCAGCGGAAUCUAGACAAUCCUCAGUCGUCUGGAUGGAAGAAGAGGGUCUGUGUUGGCCGUGCACCGCCUGGAGAAAAUUAAGGAACUAAUCCGUUUGAACAUGAUGGACAUGGAUAGGGCUGAACCACGGAACCAGACCAAACCUUUCGACUACAUCGGUGGCUUGGCACGGAGGUGGCACCCCUUAAUAUCAGGGCACGAUCCGACGAUGGCUUUUUCGGAUUUAACUGUAAGAAGCAAGAUCAGCUGGUGGAGGAAGAAGUUCUCCCUAUGGUGAAAGAUGCCGUGUUGAAGGCGGUUUGGGGGCUCAACAGCACUGGCCUUGAUGGGAGUGUGAGCGAGAGCUGGGCGGCAGCGCAGAUAGAAGAAGUAUUUGGACAGGUUGAAGCCGAAAGGAAGGAGCUGGAGCUGAAGUUUGUGGGAGCUCUGUUCCCCACGUUCUGGGUUGCGGAAGCACGAGCUGAAGCAUGUGCAGUGGGUGCGGUGGACAUGGUGGACAAGGUUUCGUCGAGCAAGAGGAAACAUCGUCAGAAAGCACUGAAGAAAAAGUCAAUUUCAGACAUGAUAUCGGGAGAGGUAGCUGUGUGUGGCGACCUGCGGCAUGCAUUGCGUAUGCCAUCCAGUAGUUCGAAGAAGGUAGCGGUUGUCUCUUGCCGGUAGACAGGAAACAAUUGCAGAUGCGUUCAAGCGGGCAAAAGUCAUCUCGGAUCACCACCACGAACGUCGCUGAUGCGUGAUCUCCCUAGUCGUCUGCCGGGCGACGGCGACGGAGAGGAGACCACGCGGAAGAGGGCUA